rnacentral:rRNA from 1 species
ACCUGCCCAUUGAUUUAUUUAACGGCCGCAGUAAUUUGACUGUGCAAAGGUAGCAUAAUCAUUAGUUUUUUAAUUAAAAGCUUGUAUGAAUGGUUGGACGAGAUAAUAUCUGUCUCUUAAUAAUUAAUAGAAUUUAAUUUUUGAGUUAAAAAGCUUAAAUUUAAAUAAAAGACGAGAAGACCCUAUAGAUCUUUAUAAAAUUUUUUUGAAUUUUUAAUUAGGAUUAUUUAAUUUUAUUCAAUUAUUUUUAUUUUAUUGGGGUAAUAUAUAGAUUAAAAUAAUUCUUUAUAUGUUUUACAUAAAUAUAUGAAUAAAUGAUCCAUUAUUAUUGAUUAUAAGAAUAAGUUACCUUAGGGAUAACAGCGUAAUUUUUUUGGAGAGUUCUUAUCGAUAAAAAAGUUUGCGACCUCGAUGUUGGAUUAAAAAUUAUUUUAGGCGUAGAAGUUUAAAAUUUUGGUCUGUUCGACCAUUAAAUUUUUACAUGAUCUGAGUUCAGACCGGUGUAAGCCAGGUCGGUUUCUAUCUUUAUUAAAUUAGUAUAUUUUAGUACGAAAGGACCAAAUAUAAAAUAUAUAAAUAUUUUAGUUUAGAAGAA